rnacentral:rRNA from 1 species
AUUGAACGCUGGCGGCAUGCCUUACACGUGCAAGUCGAACGGCAGCACGGGGCAACCUGGUGGCGAGUGGCGAACGGGUGAGUAAUGCAUCGGAACGUACCUUUCAGUGGGGGAUAACGUAGCGAAAGUUACGCUAAUACCGCAUAUUCUGUGAGCAGGAAAGCAGGGGAUCGCAAGACCUUGCGCUGAUUGAGCGGCCGAUGUCAGAUUAGCUAGUUGGUGAGGUAAAGGCUCACCAAGGCGACGAUCUGUAGCGGGUCUGAGAGGAUGAUCCGCCACACUGGAACUGAGACACGGUCCAGACUCCUACGGGAGGCAGCAGUGGGGAAUUUUGGACAAUGGGGGCAAUCCUGAUCCAGCCAUGCCGCGUGAGUGAAGAAGGCCUUCGGGUUGUAAAGCUCUCUCGGCCGGGAAGAAAUCGCACGGGCUAAUACCCUGUGUGGAUGACGGUACCGGAAUAAGAAGCACCGGCUAACUACGUGCCAGCCGCCGCCGUAAAAC